UACGUAGGGUGCAAGCGUUGUCCGGAAUUAUUGGGCGUAAAGAGCUCGUAGGCGGUCUGUCGCGUCGGAUGUGAAAAUCAGGGCUCAACCCUGGACCUGCAUUCGAUACGGGCAGACUAGAGUUCGGUAGGGGAGACUGGAAUUCCUGGUGUAGCGGUGAAAUGCGCAGAUAUCAGGAGGAACACCGGUGGCGAAGGCGGGUCUCUGGGCCGAAACUGACGCUGAGGAGCGAAAGCGUGGGGAGCAAACGGG
rnacentral:rRNA from 1 species